rnacentral:lncRNA from 1 species
CCCCGUGUGGAUGCCGACAUCGAUUUCGAGCUCCAAUCGACAGACAAUAAUUUUCAGAAAAAGGUUUAUUAUUUUUUAGGUUAGUUACAGGAACCGACCUCAGAUCUCGCCCUUUGUUUUUACAAUACACAGGCUGAUUUUUUUUUUUUGUGGUUUUCACACGGGGUGAUAUUGGAAAUGGAUAUUGGAAAUUCGUAUUCGUUUAGGUUUAAUUGAAUUCGUAUUCGUUUAGGUUUAAUUGAAUUCGAAUAUUUCUAAACGAAUUCGGAUAAUUGAAUAAAUAUAUAGGGCAUACCUGUCUUGUGAGGUACAUGUGACGGACACCAUAUCCGACCGUUCAAUUCCUACGCGAAGCUCGACCGUUCGUCGAGGGUGUCUGAUGUGACCUACUUGUCCGUCGCGGGUGUCAGAAUCACCACGAUCGGCGAUCGCGAGAUGACAGUUGCGGUUCCACAUGACUUGACGAUAUCCAUACGCGGGUGUCACCGGACAGGCAGGAGGUCGUAGGCAACCCAUACCUCUAUAGCUAGACAGCUCCUAGCCAAGUGGAUGUGUGUGCUAUUUUGGAUGUCCGACGGGAACGACACACACCAUGGCUGACGAACGACCGAUCGCAAUUUGACGGCAUCCAUCACACGUACCGUUCGACAUCCGGUGAGGACAGAUAUCGUGCCUGAUAUUUUCU